rnacentral:lncRNA from 1 species
AACUUGUUCGCUGAAAUCCUACACCGCAAGUGCACGGGUCGCGUUCAAGUAAUAAAGUGGACCUUUUGAGUCCAAGUAUCGUCCCACAGAGAUUGUAUUAGUUUAAAUUUAACUUAUCUACGCCUUAACCGAAACAAUAGAAAUUCUUGAUAUUUUCGCUAACUAAAUUAUAAUUUAAUAACCUACUUAUAAAUAUAAAAUCUAAAUUAACUAAAUUAAAUGCGUAAUUAUAACUAAAUGCAAGUUUUAUAAAAAUAUGAUAACGAAAUGCGUACUAGGAUCUCGAAUCC